UGGUGGAGUGAUUUGUCUGGUUAAUUCCGUUAACGAACGAGACCCCUGCCUGCUAAAUAGUUCAUCCAGUGAACUUCACUGAUUGGGACUUCUUAGAGGGACGUGCAUUCGACUAGUUGCAGGAAGAUAGGGGCAAUAACA
rnacentral:rRNA from 1 species